rnacentral:rRNA from 1 species
ACGCACCUCCUUUCAAGCGGGGAAUAGCCCGGGGAAACCCGGAUUAAUACCUCAUAAAAUUCUUAGAUGGCAUCAUCUUAUUAUUAAAGCUCCGGCACUUGAAGAUGGACGUGCGCCUGAUUAGAUAGUUGGCGGGGUAAUGGCCCACCAAGUCUGCGAUCAGUAACUGGUGUGAGAGCAUGACCAGUCACACGGGCACUGAGACACGGGCCCG